UGAACGCUGGCGGAAUGCUUUACACAUGCAAGUCGAACGGGGUGAGGGGGCAACUCCUCAUUCAGUGGCGAACGGGUGAGUAAUGCAUCGGAACGUGCCCCGUAGUGGGGGAUAACGCCGCGAAAGCGGCGCUAAUACCGCAUAUGCUCUACGGAGGAAAGUGGGGGACCUGACAGGGCCUCACGCUAUGGGAGCGGCCGAUGUCCGAUUAGCUUGUUGGUGGGGUAAUGGCCUACCAAGGCGACGAUCGGUAGCUGGUCUGAGAGGAUGAUCAGCCACACUGGGACUGAGACACGGCCCAGACUCCUACGGGAGGCAGCAGUGGGGAAUUUUGGACAAUGGGGGCAACCCUGAUCCAGCCAUGCCGCGUGCGGGAAGAAGGCCUUCGGGUUGUAAACCGCUUUUAGCCGGGAAGAAAAGGCGCAGGACAAUACCCUGCGUUCUUGACGGUACCGGCGGAAUAAGCACC
rnacentral:rRNA from 1 species